rfam:Otolemur garnettii contig051360, whole genome shotgun sequence.
UAAGCCCUACUCAGAAGUCAAGAGCAGCAGCGCAGCCGCUUCACGUAGCCUUUCAUGCCUGGGCCGCUCCUUAUUCUUGUGCCUCGGCCUUUCCGGGCGCCCUCGGACAAAACCUCCAGAGCCGGGCCGUUCCCUUCAGACUAAAUCCCCUUCGGGGUCAGUGGCCACCAGAACCCGGCCGCGCGCCUCUCCUGCCAGCCCAGUGGCUCUUAAAGAGUCUCAACCCCUCCGCCCUGCGCGCUCCCUCGACCCCCGCCUCCCCGCCCCUCUCCUCCUGAUUUAGCCCCCCACGCCGACGCCUGAGGUCCCUGCUGCCCCGAG